rnacentral:other from 1 species
GGUAAGCUGCAGCGUUCGAACGGCAACACAUUCCGUCGACCGUACAUUUCUGUCAGGGAGCUGGCUCUGGCGGGGACCGUGGUCCCCAUCACCUGGCGCCCACCUAGCUUGCUGGGUCGAACGGGAAUGACAAGCUCGUACGGCGCACGUGGCCCCGCC